ACGAACGCUGGCGGCGUGCUUAACCCAUGCAAGUCGAACGGAAAGGCCCUGCUUUUGUGGGGUGCUCGAGUGGCGAACGGGUGAGUAACACGUGAGUAACCUGCCCUUGACUUUGGGAUAACUUCAGGAAACUGGGGCUAAUACCGGAUAGGAGCUCCUGCUGCAUGGUGGGGGUUGGAAAGUUUCGGCGGUUGGGGAUGGACUCGCGGCUUAUCAGCUUGUUGGUGGGGUAGUGGCUUACCAAGACUUUGACGGGUAGCCGGCCUGAGAGGGUGACCGGCCACAUUGGGACUGAGAUACGGCCCAGACUCCUACGGGAGGCAGCAGUGGGGAAUAUUGCACAAUGGGCGGAAGCCUGAUGCAGCAACGCCGCGUGCGGGAUGACGGCCUUCGGGUUGUAAACCGCUUUCGCCUGUGACGAAGCGUGAGUGACGGUAAUGGGUAAAGAAGCACCGGCUAACUACGUG
rnacentral:rRNA from 1 species